GCUGCUCCUAGGACCCUUGUUUGUAUACUUGGUUCCUGAGGACAACCUCGGUGAAGUGGGGUUGCAGGUUCUAGUUGCCUUGAUCACUGUACUUGGGGGUUCUGCUGGUUUUGCUGCAUCAAAUUUUGUAUCCAACCUGCAGAAAUUGAAAUGAAUUUCGUGAUACUUUUAAUUUCUCUUUAGAUCUUAUUCUAAGAUAUUAGAAUUUGCUUUCUCCCCUACUAUUUUUUGCCUUCACUGUGCUUCUUACAAGCAUUUUUGCUUUACUUAUAAUAAUCAAUUGUGGGUUUUAUAGUCUUGAGUAUAAGAGAAAGACUGUGUUGGGACUUUACAACGAAUAUAUAACUUGUUAAUGUGUGAAACAUGCAUCAAUCAAGAUAUUGUUAACUAUAUCAAAUGGGGUCGUGCAAUCUUCAACUUCACCUAAUGUGAAUAAACGUUUCUUGUAAUAUAAUGAUAAUGUUUUUAACAGUGCUGUUGCAGUUACCAAUUGUGAAUGAUGCGACUGAUAACUAUAACAUAGAAAGUCUUUUAACAUAGGUUUGUCUUCCUCAUUGCAGUUGCAACCCAAAUAAAGCUCUCUUGCAAUUUCUCUCUUCUAUAGUGAUGACAACUUUUAUUAGUGGCCCUUGCUCAAGCAUCAAACACUUCCAUCUUCGUGCUUCAUUU
rnacentral:lncRNA from 1 species